UUUCCUUAAACCUUUCCCCACUUCUCAUGUUCCCCCUUUUCUCCCUAUUCUGUUCAGUUUUUUCUCUCUUUUCACGCAAGUUCCAGUGAAGGAUGUCUUCAAUUUUUCUUCUUUCUUUCUUGUGCUCUUUCUCAAAUUUUUCUUUGUUUCUUGAUUGCUUGUUCUUGUUGUAUUCAUAUUCGGUGGUGAGUGUGACAACUCGAUUCUUGUGUAAGUACCAUCUAUUUUUAUUUUUUCUAUUAUUGAAGUUUUCCUUUUGUUAUUAAGUUGGGGUUUGUGUGCUAUGUUUUCCGUUGUUCAUCGGUUGAGUUUUCUAGGUGAAGGUCACGAAAUGAUUAAUUUUCCGGUGGAUUAAGGCUUGUGAGGGUGCUGUUUACAUUCUGGGGUAAGUGGUUAGCGUAGUUUUGGGGCUGUUAGUUGCUGAAAAUAGGUUAGUUUUGGUAUAAUUUUAGUUAUUAACUUGUAUGAGUUGUGAAUUUAGUUAUUGGUAUAUUCAAUUCUUGAACUAAUUACAUCAGAUUUCAAUAAGAUGUGUAACGAAAAACUCACUAAGUUAAAAAUUUGACCAUCGGUGCUGCACGGUUGUGUACUGCUAAACUGUUUUAGACUUUUGGACUGUUUUUAAUUUCAGAUUUUUAUUUUCCUUUUAAAACUGUUUUAAUGUUUUGGAUUAUAUCAGUUCUCUUUGCAACAUGUUGGGUUUUAAAAUCAAAUCAUGUUUUUUUCAAAACUAUUUAAUUAAGAAAUUUCUCUGCAAAAUUAAAUAAUUUUAUAAAAAAAUUAUCUUUAAAAUUAAUGAAGUAUUUAAGAGAAAGUUUUUCCUGGUCAACUCUAUUUUCCUUACUGUUUCAACAUGAAAACAAAUUAGUAACAUUUCUAAAUCUAAUCUUAAUAUCUAGAUUAAAUUUAGGGUGUUACAUUAAACUUACCGUGUUACUAGAAUGAGUGAAGAAUUGGGUGCUCUGUCAAAUGCAGGAGGUCUUCCACAUGUUCAUGCUAAACUCGUAUAAAUUCUGACAACAAUUUUGGUCCUAUCAUAGUUUGUUUUUUUUUUUUUUAGGCUGAAGGUAUAAGAAGUUGUCUAAAAAAUCAAUUAACUAAGACCCUUUUUGCAUUCAGUUGAGAAAUUGUGUCAAGUACGCUACUUUGACUAACAAAAAUCGUUGACUGUUAAAUUUUAACAAUCUUACUGUUGUGGGCAUGGAUAUUAUUUUAUUUUAUAUGUUGUAUGAUAAUAGUUUUUGGAUGAGUAGAUAAAUUCUGAAAAAGAAAUAUGGGAAUUUCAAUUUUUAAAAAGAACAAUUGUUUCUGUAAAAACAAGUAUUAUUAAAAGCUGACAACAUAGGCUUAAGUUCAAAAAUUCAUAAAAUUUAAACAUAUAUAUAAUGAUCUGCGUCCAAAAAAAUUUAAAUAUGUUAAAUUACUAGAGAGACUGUCAUACCAUAGAUAUUUUAGAUUGAUGAAUUUAAAAACAAAAAAUGAGACUUUUAAUUUCUUAAAAAAACUAUUCCCUUAAAAAUGAGAAUCGCUAUUAAUGGUUCACCUUCCAUGAAAAAAAAAAUCAUUUUAAACUACAAUUUAACUCUUUAUGCUUUCACUUAAGGUUUAUUUGUUAUUGAGUAAUUCAAAAGUAAUUUUGAAGCCAAAUCAACCUUUUAAACCAAAGUAGCUUUUUAAGUUCAACUAGUUUUUCAAUUCAAACAAAAAGGCUACUUGUAGCCUUUAAAAAAGCUAAUUUUGGUGGCAAAUUAUAGAUUUAACCCUCAGUUAUAUUAAUUAUAAAAGAUAAG
rnacentral:lncRNA from 1 species